GGAAGCUGGGCCUGCCCAUCAGUCCGCUUUCCUGGGGCCAUGCCUAGGCCACCUGCCUGGUUUGAUUCUUGGUGGCUUCCCUGUCCCCUUACAAGCUGAGCUCUGAGCUGCGGUCUACACAGAAGUUAAGCCCUCAGUGCACCUUCUCUCUGGCUCCUGAACCUGUGCAUGUGCUGAUGGGAAUUCCCUGGGGGGGGGGGUUGGCAGGGGACACAAGCUCUCUCCACUUAGACCUGUUAAGGAACAGCAGAUAUGCUGAGAUGCCUGUCUUCCUGCCAGCCCCCGAGUGUCCAGGACUGGAAGAAGCCCCUGUGGCUUCUCUUGGGCAGAAAGGGAGCUGUGGGUCUCUGCUCGAGGCAUGAGCAGGGGUGGGUGGUGAGGAUGCUGCUGUCAGCGGGGAGGCCUGGGCUGCCCUUGCGUGACAUGGGAAGAGGCUGAGCGGUGUGGGAUUGCUUGAGGGUUCCCCUGUCAUUGUUCUCGGGUUGGUGGAGAUGCACAGACCAGUCCCCCUCUCGGUGUCUUGUAUCUUGCAGUGCGGAGCCUGUGAGUGCUGAGGACUCGGCUGUGUCCUGUCCCUGGAGAGCUCCCUCUUCCUGACCCUGCCCUCGAUGAGGGCCGCUCGAAGAUGGACAGUGAUGGCACAGGCCUGGCCCUCUCCUUGCCUCCAGCUGGCAUCAUCGAGUAGCCAUGGCUCAGGAGUUGUGGUCCCGCUGCUCACCCAGGUAAGGCUGGAGCAGGGGGAGGUGCGGGCAGAGGCACAGUCAGUGUGCUCACCCAGGUGAGGCUGGAGCAGGGGGAGGUGCGGGCAGAGGCACAGUCAGUGUGCUCACCCAGGUGAGGCUGGAGCAGGGGGAGGUGCGGGCAGAGGCACAGUCAGUGUGCUCACCCAGGUAAGGCUGGAGCAGGGGGAGGUGCGGGCAGAGGCACAGUCAGUGUGCUCACCCAGGUAAGGCUGGAGCAGGGGGAGGUGCGGGCAGAGGCACAGUCAGUGGGAGUCACCCCGGGGUGGGAGCCUCCGUGGACGUGCACCUGUUGGGUGUAGGUCAGGUCUGCCUGAGGUGGGCAGGAGUGGGGACGGCCCUCUGACAAAGGGCUGCGUGCGAGAAGGGACGAGAGGCCUGCAGGGAAGCAUUGUGUGGACAAACCCCAGUGCCUGGGGUGGCAGGUGGGGUGGGGCAGCUGGUGGCCUGUGGAGGGACGGGGACCAAAGGCCUGUUGCAUCCCAGGGCUGCGGCUGCUUGAAGGAGCCUGUAUCCUUGCCCAUCUUCACAGAAGGCCAAAGCUGAGGGUGCUG